GCUCCCAGUUGUAUACAUCAUAGUUGCCUUCCGCUGGCGAGACCUGCUUGGAGUGAAAGGAGCAUGGGUGCAGUUUCUUGUCCUCCUUGUUCCACUGUGAAAGGACCACACCAGCUCCGGUGUCCGGGGCGUCCACCUCUACCACAAAGGGACGAGUAGGAUCAGGAUGAACGAGGAUGGGUUCGGAGGAGAAACGUCCCUUGAGCUCUAUGAAUGCCCUGUCAGCCUCGGGAUUCCUGCAAAAACCUGCUUGAGUGAGGUGGGACAGGGCCGUAAAUGUUCCGGAGGGGGUUUUGGAGAAGAUCGGGAUGUCGUCGAGGUGAACAAAGACGAACCGGUUCAACAUAUCCCUAAGAGUAUCAUUGAUCAAUGCCUGAAAGACUGCUGAUUUUAAGCGUUGCGGAGGUCCAGUUUGGUGAAGAAUUGGAUUCUUAGUGCCAACUCCGAGGCGGCGGACAUCGGGUGAGUUGAACCUGCCUGUGGGUGCAGUGGGGAUAUUCCUGGGAGGUCUACUGAUGAAGAGGUAUAAGCUUGGCGUUGUGUCUGGAUCCCAGAUUUCUUUCGUCAUCUCCUUCAUGGCCUACCUCCUCCUCCCUCUGCAGUCUGGCACUAAGUGUGACAAUGUUCAGGUGGCUGGUC